GCGGCGCACGGGUGCGUAACGCGUAUGCAACCUACCCUUUACUGGGGGAUAGCCCGGGGAAACCCGGAUUAAUACCCCAUAGUAUAACGAGAUGGCAUCAUCAGGUUAUUAAAGAUUUAUCGGUGAAGGAUGGGCAUGCGUAGGAUUAGUUAGUUGGCGGGGUAACGGCCCACCAAGACUUUGAUCCUUAGGGGUUCUGAGAGGAAGGUCCCCCACACUGGCACUGAGAUACGGGCCAGACUCCUACGGGAGGCAGCAGUAGGGAAUAUUGGGCAAUGGGCGAGAGCCUGACCCAGCCAUGCCGCGUGCAGGAAGAAGGCGUUAUGCGUUGUGAACUGCUUUUAUACGGGAAGAAAAGGCCCAUGCGUGGGACAUUGCCGGUACCGUAUGAAUAAGCACCGGCUAACUCCGUGCCAGCAGCCGCGGUAAUACGGAGGGUGCAAGCGUUGUCCGGAUUUAUUGGGUUUAAAGGGUGCGUAGGCGGCCUAUUAAGUCAGCGGUGAAAGUCUGUGGCUCAACCAUAGAAGCGCCGUUGAUACUGGGAGGCUUGAGUGCCGUAUGGGUACAUGGAAUUGAUGGUGUAGCGGUGAAAUGCAUAGAUACCAUCAGGAACACCGAUAGCGUAGGCAUUGUACUGUGCGGCAACUGACGCUGAGGCACGAAAGCAUGGGUAGCGAACAGGAUUAGAUACCCUGGUAGUCCAUGCCGUAAACGAUGAUCACUCGCUGUUAUAUCCUUUGUGGUGUAGCGGCCAAGCGAAAGCGUUAAGUGAUCCACCUGGGGAGUACGCCGGCAACGGUGAAA
rnacentral:rRNA from 1 species